rnacentral:tRNA from 1 species
CGCUGGGAAGCAAAUAAGGGCUAACGUUAGCCUUUUAAGCUAAAGAUUGGUGCCUCCUAACCACCCCCAGCGA